rnacentral:pre_miRNA from 1 species
AAAAAGACAAACCCUGAGUUUCCGUGUCCAACUUUAACUAUCCGUCUUAUAUGAAAUUUUUUUAUAAUUUGUAUUUUUAUUGUUGUUAAAUGAUAAAACAUGAUUAAUACUUUGUACGUGACUUGUCUUUUUAAUUUUUUUUAUAUUUUAUUUAAAUAAGACGGACGAUCAAAUAUUAGACACGAAAAUUAGGGUU